GACGUAGGGCGCGAGCGUUGUCCGGAUUUAUUGGGCGUAAAGAGCUCGUAGGCGGCUUGUCGCGUCGACUGUGAAAACCCGCGGCUCAACUGCGGGCCUGCAGCCGAUACGGGCAGGCUAGAGUUCGGUAGGGGAGACUGGAAUUCCUGGUGUAGCGGUGAAAUGCGCAGAUAUCAGGAGGAACACCGAUGGCGAAGGCACUUUACUGGGCUAUUACUAACACUCGAGAGACGAAAGCUAGGGUAGCAAAUGGG
rnacentral:rRNA from 1 species